rnacentral:rRNA from 1 species
CAGUAGCCACGGGAACACGGAGGGCGCGAGCGUUACCCGGAUUUACUGGGCGUAAAGCGUGCGUAGGCGGUGAGUUAAGUCUGCUGUGAAAUCCCCGGGCUCAACCUGGGAAUGGCAGUGGAUACUGGCUCGCUAGAGUGUGUCAGAGGAUGGUGGAAUUCCCGGUGUAGCGGUGAAAUGCGUAGAGAUCGGGAUGAACAUCAGUGGCGAAGGCGGCCAUCUGGGACAACACUGACGCUGAGGCACGAAAGCGUGGGGAGCAAACAGGAUUAGAUACCCCGGUAGUCCCUGUCUCUUAUAC